rnacentral:rRNA from 1 species
CCUACGGGCGGCAGCAGUGAGGAAUAUUGGUCAAUGGGCGCAAGCCUGAACCAGCCAAGUCGCGUGAGGGAUGACGGUCCUAUGGAUUGUAAACCUCUUUUGUCGGGGAGCAAGGCCCGCCACGUGUGGCGGGAAGGAGAGUACCCGAAGAAAAAGCAUCGGCUAACUCCGUGCCAGCAGCCGCGGUAAUACGGAGGAUGCGAGCGUUAUCCGGAUUUAUUGGGUUUAAAGGGUGCGUAGGCGGAAGGUUAAGUCAGCGGUAAAAUGUCGGUGCUCAACACCGGCCUGCCGUUGAAACUGGGCGUCUUGAGUGGGCGAGAAGAAUGCGGAAUGCGUGGUGUAGCGGUGAAAUGCAUAGAUAUCACGCAGAACUCCGAUUGCGAAGGCAGCAUACCGGCGCUCAACUGACGCUGAGGCACGAAAGCGUGGGGAUCGAACAGGAUUAGAUACCCCGGUAGUC